GAUUAUGGCUCAGAACGAACGCUGGCGGCAGGCCUAACACAUGCAAGUCGAGCGCGCCCUUCGGGGUGAGCGGCGGACGGGUUAGUAACGCGUGGGAACGUACCCUUUGGUAGGGAAUAGCCACUGGAAACGGUGAGUAAUACCCUAUGAGCCCUUCGGGGGAAAGAUUUAUCGCCAAAGGAUCGGCCCGCGUUAGAUUAGGUAGUUGGUGGGGUAAUGGCCUACCAAGCCUACGAUCUAUAGCUGGUUUUAGAGGAUGAUCAGCAACACUGGGACUGAGACACGGCCCAGACUCCUACGGGAGGCAGCAGUGGGGAAUCUUGGACAAUGGGGGCAACCCUGAUCCAAGCCAUGCCGCGUGAGUGAAGAAGGCCUUAGGGUCGUAAAGCUCUUUCGCCUGUGAAGAUAAUGACGGUAGCAGGUAAAGAAACCCGGCUAACUCCGUGCCAGCAGCUGC
rnacentral:rRNA from 1 species